CAGCAGCCGCGGUAAAACGAAGGGGGCUAGCGUUGUUCGGAAUUACUGGGCGUAAAGCGCACGUAGGCGGAUAUUUAAGUCAGGGGUGAAAUCCCGCAGCUCAACUGCGGAACUGCCUUUGAUACUGGGUAUCUUGAGUAUGGAAGAGGUUAGUGGAAUUGCGAGUGUAGAGGUGAAAUUCGUAGAUAUUCGCAGGAACACCAGUGGCGAAGGCGGCUAACUGGUCCAUAACUGACGCUGAGGUGCGAAAGCGUGGGGAGCAGACAGGAUUAGAUACCCCCGUAGUCCCUGUCUCUUAUAC
rnacentral:rRNA from 1 species